UGGCUGGGAUGACAUUCACAUUUCUUGUAGAGGAUGGACUAGUCAGGGACUCCAGUUGUGUUUCAGUUAUCUUGAGAGGACAGUCUGCUUAACAGGCUGGGCAGUAAUUGACGAUCAUGUUACACUGGCAGAACAAUCCAUACCAAUGGAUUGAGCUAGCUCUCUUCCCAGGGAGGCAACACACGAAGCAGACUCCCUAAUUAUCCACAGCCAGCUGAAGACAUACAUGCUGGGGCUUUUUCUGUGGGCUUCUUGGCCAUGAGAGAUGCAGGGAAGCACAUAAUGUGUCCAAGCAGAUAUUAGUUCUACAAUGUCAAUAUCCAAAGAACAUUUAGUCCCACAGUAAGCAAAGUGUUAGUCUAGUGUUCAUUUCCUGAAAGUUCCAAUAGAGGCACCAGCGUAGAGAAGGCUUCCUCCACCACCAUCCUCCGGACCGUGGCAAUGCUCAUCUUUGUUCUCUUAGCCUUGUUGCCUUUUCAUUUCCUUCAGCUGUGUAUGUCUCCAAGUCUUUUGUCUGCUGCCCGGAGAAUGAGUAUUAUUUUGAUUAUCACCAUGUGCCAGCAAUUCCAAACAGUGUCAGUUGUAAACUACUCUUCCGCAAUAGAAUUUUAUUUUGUAAUUUUUUAUAAACAUUUAUUUUAGUGUUCAUACCAACCUGCAAGAUGCGAGAAAAGUUCUUAUGUCAUUCAUUUGUGAAAUUAUAACAGCUCUAUUUGUUGCAGAUAUAUUUGGUAGAUGAACCACUAUGAACAGGAUAAAAUGAUUUGUCUAAAUGAAUACAGAAUAGAAUGUGGUAAGUCUGGAACAAGUUACAUGACUAUUCUGAACCAUUAGACCCUGUAACUGACUUUAAGUUCACAUGAAGUUAGUAAAUCUAGACAAUCUCUUCUGAAGUCAUUUCAGUAAGUGUUUCUUAUUCUUAAAAUCCUAGUGAAUUGAAGUUUAACUACCAGGUGACUUUAGAACUUCAGAUUACAAUAGAGAUCAACUCUUUCUACAGCCCAGUCACCUUGCCUUUCCCCCACCAAAGUGAUGGUUAAAAGAUGAAUGGUUUUGAAUGCUGAUUUUAUUCCAGCCAUUACCAAAAAUAUGUAGUUGACCUCUCCUCCAUAGAUGAGCCAAACUCUUCGCCACUGUACCAAUAAAUAUUGGUGAAUUUCUUUGCCUUACAAGGAUAUCUCCCUAAGAAUGUUUCACUGCAAGCUGCCAUGAUGCAUGCCAAAAGUAGCCAGAAGUAGAGAACUGCUCUGAGAGAUUUCAGAAAGCCCCUUCUAGUCCACAAAACUAUGAGAAAACUGCUUUCUAACAUGGCCACCUUAUCCUCCUCUCAUCAACCUGUGGAUAAUGAGCACUGAUUCUGAGCCCAACACUGCAGAUAAUGUGAACAGUAAGAUAUUAUCCUCAUCAUAAUGAAUUUAUAGAGGCAGAACUGAGAAGCAAUUAAAGAAAAGAAAAUAAUAGAUGAGCAUAAAAUUAAUUGCCAAAUUGAGUGAUUCCACAUCUAGGAAAAGGAAAAGGGAAAAGCACGCAACUUACAUCCCAACCACUUUUGCUACCUUUUCUAAGUUGAUCCUACAACAGCCUUUUAAAACAAGUGUUAUUUUUCCCAUUGUGACUUAGAGGUGAUAUACACAUGAUCACACAGUUAGAAGUAGGAAACACUGGCCAGGCAAGGUGGCUCACGCCUGUAAUCCCAGCACUUUGGGAGGCUGAGGCGGGUGGAUCACGAGGUCAGGAGAUCGAGACUAUCAUGGCCAGCAUGGUGAAACCUCGUCUCUACUAAAAAUACAAAAAUUAGCUGGGAGUGAUGGCGCAUGCCUGUAAUCCCAGCUACUAGGGAGGCUGAGGCAGGAGAAUCACUUGAACCAGGGAGUCUGAGGUUGCAGUGAGCCGAGAUUGCGCCACAGCACUCCAGCCUGGCGACAGAGCAAGACUCCAU
rnacentral:lncRNA from 1 species